GUUUACGGCCAUGCCCGAUCCCGUCUGAACAAGCCCAAUCCCGUCUGAUCUUGGAAGCUAAGCAGGGUCAAGCCUAGUUAGUAUUUGGAUGGGAGACCACCUAGGAAGACCAGGUGCUGUAGGCA
rnacentral:rRNA from 1 species